CUUUUCAUCUUCACCUUCUUCUCUCGUCGUCUCUCUCUCUCUCUUUAUCUUCACCUCCCCCAACCCUAACAGCCACCACAGUUCCUUUUCAGUUUCAAAGAAAAAGAGAAAAAGUUAUGGAAAAAGCUGUAAAAAAUGAAGAGGAAGAAAGUGUAAUCAGUUUUAGAUCCUCUUUUACAAGAGUUAGAUCGGUAAUAUUGGUUGGAGAAAUUGAAAAAAAAACAAACUCUACAUAGAUCUUGCAGUAGUUAGGUUUCAUGGCUUUUGUCAUCUCAUCUUGUGCAUUUUUCCGUCUCUAUGAGGAUCUAUUUUAGCUUAACAUUGAAAAUCAGCCUGGAGCUUUUGAUAUCUUUUGGGGAUUAUUUUCCUUGUGGCUGCAUCAAAAUUUUUCCACAAAGAACAUUUGCAUAUAUCAUACAACUAAAUCAACAUCAAGGUGAAAUAGCAGUAAAAUAUUCACUUGACUUUUUGGGACGAUGCUUGGGAGUUGGAAUAAGUCAUGAUCUACUUGUAGAAUUGACAACAAAAAUAAGCAGGCUAGAAUAAAACUUGAUCCAGAUAUAGAUGCUUUCAUGAAAGCCACUGCAGUGAGAGAGUGAGCUUGAUAUCAUUGACGGUGUGGGUGUUGAAACAUGACAUGUAAUACGAACCAGCAUUGAUGGACGAAAUGGUCAAUCUAAGCAGGUCAGGAAUUUUCUUGGGUCAUUUGGUAUUGGCAAACUCUUGAGGUUAUUGUAUUGUAUUGAAUCAUAUUUGAAUUAUUAAGAACUAAGAAAUUCGGUGACAAUUUUCGUUUUUGAAGCUAACAAAAUAUUAGUUAUAUCAUGGAACUUGUAGUUUGGACUGGCUCUU